UACCAGCUCCCUGAGUGGUAAGGACGAUUAUUUGGCCUAAAGCGUCCGUAGCCGGCUUAUCAAGUCUCUUGUUAAACCCAAUGAUUCAAUCAUUGACCCGCAAGAGAUACUGUUAUGCUAGAGGACGGGAGAGGUCGACGGUAGUCCAGGGGUAGGGGUGAAAUCCUAUAAUCCUUGGAGGACCACCAGUGGCGAAGGCGGUCGACUAGAACGUGCCUGACGGUGAGGGACGAAAGCUGGGGGAGCGAACCGGAUUAGAUACCCGGGUAGUCCCAGCUGUAAACGAUGCGGGCUAGGUGUUGGGAUGGCUACGUGCCAUUUCAGUGCCGCAGGGAAGCCGUUAAGCCUGCCGCCUGGGGAGUACGGCCGCAAGGCUGAAACUUGAAGGAAUUGGCGGGGAGCACCACAAGGGGUGAAGCUUGCGGUUU
rnacentral:rRNA from 1 species